GGGGAUUUAGCUCAGUGGUAGAGCGCUUGCCUAGCAAGCACACAAGGCCCUGGGUUCGGUCCCCAGCUCCG
rnacentral:tRNA from 1 species